rnacentral:rRNA from 1 species
UACGACUUAGCGGCGGACGGGUGAGUAACGCGUGGGUAACCUGCCUUACACUGGGGGAUAACAGUUAGAAAUGACUGCUAAUACCGCAUAAGCGCACAGGGCCGCAUGGUCUGGUGUGAAAAACUCCGGUGGUGUAAGAUGGACCCGCGUCUGAUUAGGUAGUUGGUGGGGUAACGGCCCACCAAGCCGACGAUCAGUAGCCGACCUGAGAGGGUGACCGGCCACAUUGGGACUGAGACACGGCCCAAACUCCUACGGGAGGCCAGCAUG